UACGUAGGUGGCAAGCGUUGUCCGGAAUUAUUGGGCGUAAAGCGCGCGCAGGCGGUCCUUUAAGUCAGAUGUGAAAUACCCGAGCUCAACUUGGGUGCUGCAUUUGAAACUGGGUGUCUAGAGUGCAGGAGAGGAAAGCGGAAUUCCUAGUGUAGCGGUGAAAUGCGUAGAGAUUAGGAAGAACACCAGUGGCGAAGGCGGCUUUCUGGACUGUAACUGACGCUGAGGCAUGAAAGCGUGGGGAGCAAACAGG
rnacentral:rRNA from 1 species